rnacentral:rRNA from 1 species
UUCUUACUGAAUUUAUAGUAAGUAACACCUGCUCAAUGAUUUAUUUUUAAAUAGCCGCGGAAAUUUAACCGUGCUAAGGUAGCAUAAUCAUUAGCCUCUUAAUUAGAGGCUCGUAUGAACGGUGAAACAUUUCAAUUACUUUUUUAAUCAAUUUAUUUAAAUUUAAACUAAGAAUAAAAAUGUUCUUAUUAAUAAAAUAGACGAUAAGACCCUUUUGAACUUUACUUUAGUUUAGCUGGGGCAGCUUGAUAAUAAUCAUCUUAUUAAAAUUAUUUAAAUAAAUGACCCAAUAUAAUUGAUUUAAUGAACAAGUUACCAUAGGGAUAACAGCGUAAUAUCUUUUUAAAGCUCUUAUUAAAAAAGAAGAUUGCGACCUCGAUGUUGAAUUAGUGUAACUUUACUGAUGCAGUAAUUUUAAAAGUAGGUCUGUUCGACCUUUAAAACAUUACAU